rnacentral:tRNA from 1 species
GGGAGUAGAUGUCUGCCUGGUGUGGGCCCCGGACUUCAAAUCCGGUGGUGGGCGUUGAUCCGUCCAUGGUGGGUUCGAUUCCCACCUACUCCCGCCA